ACGGAAGGCAGCAGUGGGGAAUAUUGGGCAAUGGGGGAAACCCUGACCCAGCAACGCCGCGUGAAGGAAGAAGGCUUUCGGGUUGUAAACUUCUUUUACCAGGGACGAAGAAAGUGACGGUACCUGGAGAAAAAGCCACGGCUAACUACGUGCCAGCAGCCGCGGUAAUACGUAGGUGGCAAGCGUUAUCCGGAUUUACUGGGUGUAAAGGGCGCGUAGGCGGGGAGACAAGUCAGGUGUGAAAUCUAUGGGCUUAACCCAUAAACUGCAUUCGAAACUGUAUCUCUUGAGUGCUGGAGAGGUAGAUGGAAUUCCUUGUGUAGCGGUGAAAUGCGUAGAUAUAAGGAAGAACACCAGUGGCGAAGGCGAUCUACUGGACAGUAACUGACGCUGAGGCGCGAAAGCGUGGGGAGCAAACAGGAUUAGAUACCCUGGUA
rnacentral:rRNA from 1 species